CAGUACCCUGAAUUUAGCUGUCAUAUCAGUACCCUGAAUUUAGUUGUCAUAUCAGUACCCUGAAUUUAGCUGUCAUAUCAGUACCCUGAAUUUAGUUGUCAUAUCAGUACCCUGAAUUUAGUUGUCAUAUCAGAUGAAUCUCCUACUGCGCAGUCUGAUGCUGCCUCACAGAUAUAGCUGUACACUCACUAAGGGCCAUACUGUUAUACUUCUAGUCUGUCAUACAGACCCUGAAACAAAUAUAUCCAA